CUCACUUCAGCAGCACUUACACUGGAACAAUACAGAAGAUUGGUUUAGUCCCUGAGCAAGAAUGACAUAUCAAGCAUUCCACAU
rnacentral:snRNA from 1 species